UUUAUGGAGAGUUUGAUCCUGGCUCAGGACGAACGCUGGCGGCGUGCCUAAUACAUGCAAGUCGAGCGGAGCUCAUUUGAAAGCUUGCUUUCGAAUGAACUUAGCGGCGGACGGGUGAGUAACACGUAGGCAACCUGCCUGCAAGACCGGGAUAACCUCCGGAA
rnacentral:rRNA from 1 species